CGAGAAAGCCCGCAAGGGUGAGUAAAGCGGCGCACGGGUGCGUAACACGUGGAUAAUCUGCCCUGGAGUCCGGAACAACUCGCCGAAAGGCGAGCUAAUGCCGGAUGAGACCACGGGGGCUUCGGCCCCUGAGGGAAAAGGUGGCCUCUGUACACAAGCUAUCGCUUCAGGAUGAGUCCGCGGCCCAUCAGCUAGUUGGCGGGGUAAUGGCCCACCAAGGCGACGACGGGUAGCUGGUCUGAGAGGACGAUCAGCCACACUGGAACUGAGACGCGGUCCAGACUCCUACGGGAGGCAGCAGUGGGGAAUCUUGCGCAAUGGGCGAAAGCCUGACGCAGCAACGCCGCGUGUGUGAUGAAGGUCUUCGGAUCGUAAAGCACUGUCGCGAGGGACG
rnacentral:rRNA from 1 species